UAGGGAAUAUUGCAAAAUGGGCGAAAGCCCGAUGCAGCAACGCCGCGUGGGCGAUGAAGGCCUUCGGGUCGUAAAGCCCUUUUUGAGGGGAUGAGGAAGGACAGUACCCUCAGAAUAAGCCUCGGCUAACUACGUGCCAGCAGCCGCGGUAAAACGUAGGAGGCGAGCGUUAUCCGGAUUUACUGGGCGUAAAGCGCGUGCAGGCGGAUUGGAGAGUUGGAUGUGAAAGCUCCCGGCUUAACUGGGAGAGGUCGUUCAAUACUUCCAGUCUUGAGUGCAGUAGAGGGAAGUGCAAUUCCGGGUGUAGUGGUGAAAUGCGUAGAUAUCCGGAGGAACACCAGUGGCGAAAGCGGCUUCCUGGACUGUAACUGACGCUCAGACGCGAAAGCUAGGGUAGCAAACG
rnacentral:rRNA from 1 species